GUGAAGCUGAGAGGUUUAACUGGCAAAUUGUGCUUUAAAGUAAUUUUGAAAGGCAGAGACAGGAAGAUCUCACCUGGUCAAAAUUUGGAUUGGAGUUACUAUAAAGGCUGUGUGAAGCUGAGAGGUUUAACUGGCGUUUCCAGUCCGUCACAGGCUUUUAUUUUAAAAUUGUGCUGUGCUUUUAUUUUGAAAGGCAGAGAUGGGAAGAUCUCACCUGGUCAAAAUUUGGACUGGAGUUAUUGUAAAGGCUGUGUGAAGCUGAGAGGUUUAACUGGCGUUUCCAGUCCGUCACAGGCUUUUAUUUUAAAAUUGUGCUGUGCUUUUAUUUUGAAAGGGAAAGACAGGAAGAUCUCACCUGGUCAACAUUUGGAUUGGAGUUACUCUAAAGCAGGGGUGUCUCACUCAGUUCCUGGAGGUCCACUAGCCUCUAUGUUCUAGAUGUUUCCUUCUUACAACACACCUGAUUCAAAUGAUUAGCCAUCAUUAAGCUCAGCAGAAGCCUGAUAACGAGCCUGAUCAUUUGAAUCAGGUGUGUUAUAACUGAGUUUGACACCCCUGCUCUAAAGGCUGUGUGAAGCUGAGAGGUUGAACUGAUUUUCAGGCUGAAAUGCAGCUCCUGUGGAGGUAUUGGGUGUGAAGGUGGGUGUGGCACACCAAUGAGUCUGUGUGUGUGCGUGGGAGCAUGCCUGCGCGUGUGUAAGGGCGGUUGCUAUGGGCCCCAUAGCAACGGUGCCUGCCACAGACAGCAAAAAAGUGCUUUUCAGAAGCAGCGCGCAACGUCUCGUUCUGGCGCUAACUGUGGGCUAACCGUGAAUGCUAGCUGAAAACUAAAAUGACCGUGAGCGAGAGGAAGGCUGUGGCUUUCCAUAAAUGUAAUUAUUUUUCAAAUAUUGUGAGAAAUGACCGAGUUACAGCGAUUUAAAAAACACUGUCCCUCCAUGAGGCAGAUGAUUCAGUUUACAUUGGUUCUUAUGGAGAGACCGGUGCGACUUUGGUGUAAACUGCUGCCUGCCAUUUCACUUCAGAAAGAGCGAGAUCUUCAAACUUGGAUUCAUUUGAAUCUCAGGAAAAUUGUUUACAAUCUGACCAAAUUUCAUUGUCCUAUCUCUUAUGGUUUGGUCGUGAGGGCGAUGCGAUCGGGAAAUUUUCAGGCGAAUUUUUCACCUCUCCUCCACUCUACCAACUGACAUGCCGCACUCUAACCAGAGCAGAUUUUGAGAAUUUUCACUUUUUUGAGGACUCACUGAUGAAAAACUGUAAAUCUCAGCCUCACAUAAAAUACAUUCCUGCGAAGACAAGAAAAAUCACUGCGUUUUGAUGGUUAAAUGAAGUUUCUAGGUGACCGUAUGGCGAAGCAGUGGCGUUUGGAAAAAAGUUGAUUUUUUGAGCCGAUUUUUUUCACUCCCCAUUCAUUUCCUAUGGGACUUUUGUCGCAGUUUUUUGCGAAUAAUUCUGCGAAAAAAUGACGAAUUUCUUAGAAAAGUCAUAGCCCGGGAUUCCCGAUGAAGCCGCACGUUUUGAUAUAUAAUUUGUUUUGAUUUUCUCAAAGCCCUAGGACGAGUUAGCGACCGAAAAAUGGCGGAAACGUGAAGAAAAUAUAAUAAUAAACGCAGCAGGAGAACAAUAGUGGCUCGUGGCUUCGCCACGAGCCACUCUCCUCCCAUUGCUUUGCAAUGGAGAGGAGAGUGGCUCGUGUCGAAGCCCGAGCCCCUAACUAGACAAUUCCCGCUGGUGCGGAAAUCGUGGGAGGGACUCGGGAUGUGUGCAUGUCCGGAGCUGGGCAGGAGAGAGUUAUUUUUUGGUCCGUCACAGGCUUUUAUUUUCAAAUUGUGCUGUGCUUUUAUUUUGAAAGGUAGAGACAAGAAGAUCUCACCUGGUCAAAAUUUGGAUUGGAGUUACUCAAAAGGCUGUGUGAAGCUGAGAGGUUUAACUGGCAAAUUGUGCUGUAAAGUAAUUUUGAAAGGCAGAGACAGGAAGAUCUCACCUGGUCAAAAUUUGGAUUGGAGUUACUGUAAAGGCUGUGUGAAGCUGAGAGGUUUAACUGGCAUUUCCAGUCUUUCACAGGCUUUUAUUUUGAAAUUGUGCUGUGCUUUUAUUUUGAAAGGCAGAGACAGGAAGAUCUCACCUGGUCAAAAUUUGGAUUGGAGUUACUGUAAAGGCUGUGUGAAGCUGAGAGGUUUAACUGGCGUUUUCCGGUCUGUGGCAGGAUUUUAUUUUGAAAUUUUGCUGUGCUUUUAUUUUGAAAGGCAGAGACAGGAGGAUCUCACCUGGUCAAAAUUUGGAUUGAAGUCACUCCUCAGGAUGUGUGAAGCUGAGAGGUUUACUGUGAUGACCCUGGGUCAUUUUGUGCAGUGUUCAUGUUGAGAAACUUGGUCUCCUCUCCUCCUCCUGUGUGUGUGUGUGCGUGUGAGUGGGUGUGGCUGUCCAGCAGAGUCAGUAGCUGUGACUAGUUCCUGGUGCUGAGGCUGAUUGGGCUGCUGGGAGGAUUGCUGCCACCUGAGAGUCUGCCUGGAGGCUACAAAAACCAGCUGCUGCAACCUGCUCACUCUCUCCUGAUCCGGCCACCCUCGAUGAAGCAGCCUGUUGUCAGCUCUGUGUGUUCAUGUGAUAGUUGGAGACUGAUCCUGUGGUAGGGGCAGGAAGCCCAAA